rnacentral:rRNA from 1 species
GUCGAGCGGAAACGAUGGUAGCUUGCUACCAGGCGUCGAGCGGCGGACGGGUGAGUAACGCGUGAGAAUCUGCCCAUUUGUGGGGGAUAACUCGGGGAAACUCGAGCUAAUACCGCAUAAUCCCUACGGGGGAAAGCAGGGGACCUUCGGGCCUUGUGCAGAUGGAUGAGCUCGCGUCGGAUUAGCUUGUUGGUGAGGUAAAGGCUCACCAAGGCGACGAUCCGUAGCUGGUCUGAGAGGAUGAUCAGCCACACCGGGACUGAGACACGGCCCGGACUCCUACGGGAGGCAGCAGUGGGGAAUCUUGGACAAUGGGGGCAACCCUGAUCCAGCCAUGCCGCGUGUGUGAAGAAGGCCUUCGGGUUGUAAAGCACUUUCAGUAGGGAGGAAGGCUUACCGCUAAUAACGGUGAGUACUUGACGUUACCUACAGAAGAAGCACCGGCUAAUUUCGUGCCAGCAGCCGCGGUAAUACGAAAGGUGCGAGCGUUAAUCGGAAUUACUGGGCGUAAAGCGCGCGUAGGCGGUUUGUUAAGUCAGAUGUGAAAGCCCCGGGCUCAACCUGGGAAUUGCAUUUGAAACUGGCAGGCUAGAGUGCAGUAGAGGGAGGUGGAAUUUCCGGUGUAGCGGUGAAAUGCGUAGAGAUCGGAAGGAACACCAGUGGCGAAGGCGGCCUCCUGGACUGACACUGACGCUGAGGUGCGAAAGCGUGGGGAGCAAACAGGAUUAGAUACCCUGGUAGUCCACGCCGUAAACGAUGUCUACUAGUCGUUGGGAAUCUUAGUAUUCUUAGUGACGAAGUUAACGCGAUAAGUAGACCGCCUGGGGAGUACUGCCGCGAGUUAAAACUCAAAUGAAUUGACGGGGGCCCGCACAAGCGGUGGAGCAUGUGGUUUAAUUCGAUGCAACGCGAAGAACCUUACCAGCCUUGACAUCCUUGGAACUUUCUAGAGAUAGAUGGUGCCUUCGGGAGCCAAGUGACAGUGCUGCAUGGCUGUCGUCAGCUCUCGUC